rnacentral:rRNA from 1 species
CCUACGGGUGGCUGCAGUGGGGAAUAUUGCACAAUGGGGGAAACCCUGAUGCAGCGACGCCGCGUGAGUGAAGAAGUAUUUCGGUAUGUAAAGCUCUAUCAGCAGGGAAGAAAAUGACGGUACCUGAUUAAGAAGCCCCGGCUAACUACGUGCCAGCAGCCGCGGUAAUACGUAGGGGGCAAGCGUUAUCCGGAUUUACUGGGUGUAAAGGGAGCGUAGACGGCAGCACAAGUCUGGAGUGAAAUGCCGGGGCUUAACCCCGGGAGUGCAUUUGAAACUGUCCAGCUGGAGUGCAGGAGAGGUAAGCGGAAUUCCUAGUGUAGCGGUGAAAUGCAUAGAUAUUAGGAGGAACACCAGUGGCGAAGGCGGCUUACUGGACUGUAACUGACACUGAGGCUCGAAAGCGUGGGGAGCAAACAGGAUUAGAUACCCUUGUAGUC